rnacentral:lncRNA from 10 species
UAAGGACUAGAUGUUUUAUUUCAGGACUUCAAAGAAGUUUCUGGUGAUGACAAAGUCUAUGGAAUAACCUUGGAAGUUAGUGAGGUAGAAGGGCAUCAGGGAGCCAGAUGCCAGGUGCUGGAUUCCCAUCAAAGACACUUAGAAUGAUUACAGAAGUUGGAGAGGACAUGACUUCUGUGAGCUAAAUGAUAACGUCUUCAAUGAAGGAAGAGGGAAGGGCUGGAAAAUAUUUGAUCUGAAGUUGGUUGAAUCAGAAGACGCCAAACCGGCAGAUAUGGAGGACCAACAGUGUAUGCUUAAUUGUUUAUGUUGGUUUCAAGAACCCUUUCAUAUAGGAUUAAUGCUUCCUGAUGAUCAUUAUACUAGGUGCUAAGAUGUUGACAUGUGCAGAAGACCAGUUAUGAUAUUUCCUAGUUUGUUCACCAAAAUAAUUCAGUCUACAUCCAUUUGUUGCCUAUCAAUGACAGACUGGAUAAAGAAAAUGUAGUAUAUAUACACCCCGGAAUACCAGGCAGCCAUAAACAAGAACAAGAUCACGUCUUUUGUGGGAACAUGGAUGGAGCUGGAGGCUGUUAUCCUUAGCAAACUAACGCAGGAACAGAAAACCAAAUACCACAUAUUCUCAGUUACAAGUGGGAGUUAAAUAAUAACAACUUAUGAACACAAAUAAGGAGACAACAGACACUGCGAUGUACUUGAGGGUGGAGGGUAGGAGGAGGAAAAGGAGCAGAAAAGAUAAGUAUCAGGUACUGGGCUUAACACCUGAGUGAUGAAAUAGCAUGUACAACAAACCCCCAUGACACGUUUACCUAUGUAACAAACCUUCACAGGUACCCCCAAACCUAAAAUAAAAGUUAGAAAACAAAAAAAAAACUUGCCUUGAUUUCUGUCAGGUUUCUAAAUUUUCUGGAUCCAGACAAAGAUAUAUUAAUUUGUUUUAUACUCAUUUGUUUUCUUCUUUAAUGAUAUUUAUUCAAUUGAAAAGUGUGUACUAUUAUUACCUAAAACCAUUAAAAUUUAGUGAGAGGUUAAGGGAAUGCCAUAAUUAAUGUUUAAUAGUUGUCAGAAUACAAAAUUAUUUUAACAGCUUUGUUGAGGUGUAAUUAACAUACAAUAAACUGCAUACUGAAGAUAUAUAAUUUGAUAAGUUUCAAUGUGCAUACAUACUCAUCAUAAUCACCAUAAUAAAUACAUUAUAUAUAUAUGCAUCACUCCAAAAAGUUUUCACAUGUCCCUUUGUAAUACCUCCCUCUUCUCCUCCCCUCAACAAUCACGCUACUGGUUUGUGUCUUUUUGUAGAAUUUAAAUACAUGAAAUUGUUCAUGCAGUGUGAUACUUUUUUUAAAUCUUAAAUCUUUUCUCAGAAUAAUUCUUUUGAGACUCAUUCGUGUAGUGGAAUGUACCAAAUGUAUUAUUUUUUAUUGUAGAGUGGAAUUUAUUGUAUGCAUAUAUCAUAAUGUGUUUUCAUAUUUAUCUGUUGAUGAAAAGUUGACUUGUUUUUAAUUUUUGCUAUCACAAGUAAAACUUCUGAACACAUUUGUGUAUGAGUCUGUAUGUAGGCACAUACUUUCAUUUUAUUUGGUACUAACACCAAGGAGUAGAAUAAUUGGAUCUUAUGGUAGGUUUAUAUUUAACUUUUUAGAAAACUGCCACAUUAUUUUCCAAAGUUGUUGUUUUUUUUCACAUUCUCAACACCAAUGCAUGAAGAGUUCCAGUUACUCUACAUCCUCAUUAAUAGUUGGUAUGGUCACAUAUUUAAAUUUUUGCUCUUUUUAUAGAUCAGUGGUAAUAUCUCAUCAGUUUUAAUUUGCAUGUCACUUAUAAUUAAUAAUGUUAAGAAUAUUUUCAUGUGCUUAUUUGCCAUCCAUAUAUCUUCCUGGGUAUUGGUUGUCUGUUUUCUUAUUAUUGUAAAUUUUGAGAGUGUAUUAUAUAUUCAGAAUACACAUCCAUUAUCAAAUAUGUGAUUAACAAGUAUUUUCUCCAAGUCUAGGGUUUGUAUUUUCAUUCUCUUAACAGUGUCUUUGAAAUACCAAAAGUUAUUAAUUUUGAUGAAGUCUGAUUUACCAAUACUUUAUUUAGUAGAUCAUGCUUUGGUGUCAUAUCUAAGAUACCUGAAUAAUAUCGAAUUAUCUGACUGAUGAAAAUUAUAUGUCUCUCUUUACUAAGAUAUUUUGUAAAAAUUUCUCUCAGCAAUAUUUUAUCGUUUUUCAGUCUAAAAGUCUUCCAUUUGUUUUGCCAGAUUUAUCUCAAAUAUUUCAUAUAUUUUAAUUCUUUUAAUGAAUAUCAAUUAAAUAUCAACAUCUGAUUACCCAUUAUUAGUAUACAGAAGCACAACUGAUUUUACGUAUUGCCCUUGUAUUCUGAAAUUCUGCUAAACUCUCAUUACCAGCUUUUCUGUAGAUUCCACUGGAUUUUCUAUAUAAAUCAUCAUGUAUCUGUGAAUAAAGACCAAAUUAUUUAUUCUUUUAAUUACUUAUUUUCAAUAUGGAUGCAGUUAAUUUUGUUUUCGUGCCUGAUUGCACUGGCUAGCACUUGUAAUACACUGUUGAAUAGAAUUGGUGAGAGUGGACAUCCUUGCCUUGUUCUUGAUUUAAGGGGGAAAACAAUUAUCAUUUAAAAGAGGCUUUCAUUAUUAAACAUGAUGUUACCUACAGACUUUCUUUGAAUGUCUUUUGUAGUUUGAGAAGUAUCAUUCUAUUUCUAGUUUUCUAAGAAUUUUUGUCAGGAAUGGAUGUUAGAAUUUGUCAAAUAUAUUUUCUGCAUCUAUUGAGAUUAUCAUGUGUCUAUUUUAUUUAGUUUGUUAAUAUGGUCAAUAUUAUUGAUUAAUUUUUAAAUAAUAAACUAAGUUAUGCAUCAUUCCUGCAAUAAAUUCCACUUGGUCCUGGUAUUCUAUUCUUUCAUAUAUUGUUGGAUUCACUUUGCUAAAAUUUUCUUAAGAAUUUCUGUAUGUGUUCAUGAAGGAUAGUCAUUUAUAGUUUUCUUUUCGUAACAUGUCCUUGUCCAAUUUUUGUAAUAGUGUAAGACUUUCCUGAUAACAUAAGUUUGCAAAUAUUCCUUCGUCACACAUUUUCUGGAAGAGUUUGUUUAAAAUUCAUAUAGUAUUUUCCCGAAAUGUUUGGUAGAAUUCACCAUGGGAGUCAUCUUGGUCUGGUGUUUUUUUUGUUAUUAGAAGGUUUUUUUUUUUAUUUUUUUUCACUGCAAAAGUAACUUAUUUAACAGAUAUAGGGUUAUUAAAGCAAUCUAAUUCCAUUUGAGUAAACUAUCAUUUACUUUGGUAGUUUAUGCAUUGCAAUGCAUGCUCGUUUUGCCUAAAUUGUCAAUUUUAUUAGCAUAACAUUAUUCAUAAUGUUAUCCUGUUAAUGUCUUUAAAUCUAUAAUGUCUCCUUUCAUGUUCCUACAGCAGCUAACUUAUACUUUCUCUCUUAUUUUUUCUGAUCGGUCUGGCUCUGGAAUUUUGUCAAGUUUGUUGAUAUCAUCAAAUAAUUAACUUUGAUCCAUUCAUUGUUUUUUCUUUUUUCUCUUUUCUGUUUCAUUUGUUUCCACCUCAAGCUUUUGCCCCAAAUUCUUAUGUUUCUUUUGGUCUGUAUUUGCUCUCACUUUCUAGUUCUUAAGGAGAAAAAAGUGAAGUCGCUAAUUUCAGACGUUUCUUCUUUAUUAGGCAUUUAUGUUUAUAUAUUGUCUAAUAAAUAUGGCUAUAG